AGGACCGUCCUCAGGGUGGCGGCGAUCUCCGGCUCGCUGCGUAGGGCGUCGGCCAACACCGGCCUCAUCCGCGCCGCCGCGGAGAUCUGCAGGGAGUCCAUCCCGGGCCUGCAGAUCGACCACGUCGACAUCUCGGAGCUGCCGCUGCUCAACACCGACCUCGAGGUCCGAGGCGGCUUCCCGCCGGCCGUCGAGGCGUUCCGCGACAGCGUCCGCACGGCCGAUUGCUUCCUCUUCGCCUCGCCCGAUUACAACUACUCCAUUUCAGGAACUCUGAAGAACUCGCUGGACUGGGGAUCACGGCCGCCCAACUGCUGGGCCGACAGAGCCGCGGCGAUGCUGAGCGCGUCGGGCUACCACAUCCGGCAGGUUGGGGUGUUUCUUGACAUCCACUUCAUCAACAAGCCGGAGGUCUUCACCAAGGCACACCUGCCCCCCGAAAAAUUCGACGCAGACGGCAACCUCAUCGAUUCAGAGACCAAGGAGCAGGUCAGGAGCAUGCUCCUGUCGCUGCAAGCCUUCGCCCUCAGGCUCCAGGGGAACUGA
rnacentral:rRNA from 1 species